UGAGCCACAGAUGUCCGAAUGGGGAAACCCACCUGUUUACAGGUAUCGUUAACUGAAUACAUAGGUUAACGAGGCAAACGAGGGGAACUGAAACAUCUAAGUACCCAGAGGAAAGGAAAUCAACCGAGACUCCGUGAGUAGCGGCGAGCGAAAGCGGAUUGCGACUUAAGUCAGUGAACGCGUUGGAAAGCGCGGCCAAAGAAGGUGAUAGCCCUGUAGUUGGAUGAUGUCGCUCAGCCCUAGAGUAGCGUCGGUGUCGUGAAACCCGGCGUGAACAUGGGGGGUCCACCCUCCAAGGCUAAGUACUACUUGACGACCGAUAGUUAACCAGUAAGGCGACUGAAUGAUGAAAACUACCCCUGCUAGGGGUGUGAAAGAGUAGCUGAAACCAUGUGCUUACACAGCGGUCAGAGCCCUUCGGGGUGAUGGCGUGCCUUUUGCAUAAUGACCCGGCGAGUUACUCUCAUUGGCGAGGUUAAGGCCUAGCGGGCCGAAGCCGAAGCGAAAGCGAGUCUGAAAUAGGCGUUGAGUCGAUGGGAGUAGACGCGAAACCUUGUGAUCUACCCAUGGGCAGGCUGAAG
rnacentral:rRNA from 1 species